CCCUUAGAUGUUCUGGGCUGCACGCGCGCUACACUGGUGCGUUCAGCGAGUUUAGCACCUUAACAGAUAUGUUUGGGUAAUCUUCUGAAAACGCACCGUGAUGGGGAUCGAUUAUUGUAAUUAUUAAUCGUCAACGAGGAAUUCCUAGUAAGUGUGAAUCAUCAGUUCGCGCUGAUUACGUCCCUGCCCUUUGUACACACCGCCCGUCGCUGCUACCGAUGGGUGAUCCGGUGAAUGAUUCGGACUUCAGCGGCUCCCCUGGGGUGCGCCGGAGAAAGUUUUGUGAACCUUAUCACUUGGAGGAAGGAGAAGUCGUAACA
rnacentral:rRNA from 1 species